rnacentral:rRNA from 1 species
UACGUAGGGUGCGAGCGUUGUCCGGAAUUACUUGGCGUAAAGAGCUCGUAGGUGGUUUGUCGCGUUGUUCGUGAAAUCUCACGGCUUAACUGUGAGCGUGCGGGCGAUACGGGCAGACUGGAGUACUGCAGGGGAGACUGGAAUUCCUGGUGUAGCGGUGGAAUGCGCAGAUAUCAGGAGGAACACCGGUGGCGAAGGCGGGUCUCUGGGCAGUAACUGACGCUGAGGAGCGAAAGCGUGGGGAGCGAACAGG